rnacentral:rRNA from 1 species
UACGUAGGCAGCAAGCGUUGUUCGGAGUUACUGGGCGUAAAGGGCGCGUAGGCGGCUUGGUCAGUCCCGUGUGAAAUCCCUCGGCUCAACUGAGGAACUGCACGGGAAACUGCCUGGCUUGAGUUCGGGAGAGGGAAGCGGAAUUCCGGGUGUAGCGGUGAAAUGCGUAGAUAUCAGGAGGAACACCGGUGGCGAAGGCGGGUCUCUGGGCCGAUACUGACGCUGAGGAGCGAAAGCGUGGGGAGCGAACAGG